rnacentral:rRNA from 1 species
CCUACGGGUGACAGCAGUGAGGAAUAUUGGUCAAUGGUCGGGAGACUGAACCAGCCAAGCCGCGUGAGGGAUGAAGGUACAGAGUAUCGUAAACCUCUUUUGUCAGGGAACAAAGGCGGGGACGUGUCCCCGGAUGAGUGUACCUGAAGAAAAAGCAUCGGCUAACUCCGUGCCAGCAGCCGCGGUAAGACGGGGGAUGCGAGCGUUAUCCGGAUUGAUUGGGUUUAAGGGGUGCGCAGGGGGUCUGUUAAGUCAGCGGUCAAAGCCCGGGCCUAAACCCGGCACCGCCGUUGAAACUGGCAGUCUCGAGUUGGAGAGAGGGAUGCGGAAUGCGCGGUGUAGCGGUGAAAUGCAUAGAUAUCGCGCAGAACUCCGAUUGCGAAGGCAGCAUGCCGGCUCCACACUGACGCUGAGGCACGAAAGCGUGGGUAUCGAACAGGAUUAGAUAUCCCUGUAGUC